rnacentral:tRNA from 1 species
GUCUUUAAAGGAUAAUAGCGCAUCCAUUGGUCUUAGGAACCAAAAACUCUUGGUGCAACUCCAAGUAAAGACU